GUUUCACUAAACACAUCACAAAACUCCUUACUUUCUGUUAAGAAGGAGAAAGAGUCUUCGUAUCAAAGCCACAAUGCCAAAAGGAAAUUGCUACUACUUCCAUCAGGCUCAACACGUUUACCGCCUCAGAGUGAAUUGUUAAAACUUAAAACAAGUUCUGCGGUAAACCGAGGAACACUCCAUUUAGAAAAUGAUAUGACUGCCGCAGACGUCCUUAAAGAAGUGCGGACGGUUCUAAGCUCGCUUGGAAAGAAAAGAAUUCGUCUCGCUGCGGCGGACUCUUCAGGCAAAUUGGAUUUCUUUAAAGGCACAAAAUGGACAGCGAAGACACUACGUCAGAGAAUAAAAUCUAACUCAGUCUUGUACGUUGUACCAUCGAGUUGAAUCGCCACCUUAAGAGCAAUUCCUGAUAGCAUGCAGUAGAGAGGGAUGCAACAUACAGAGGAAACUCGUCUUCGUUUAAAGAUUCUUGCAAUGGAACUUUUAUCAUACAUCAACAACCAAAGAUUCCAACGUUUUACAGUUUUUCAUUCAAGGCAAAGCUUAUUUUCCAGUCACUUUUCCCGUGUAUUUUAACAGUGAUUAGUUUGUAAAGACCUUGCUAGCAGUUGAAGAUUCUGAAGAUUAAACUUGUUAAGUUU